CGGGAAGAGCCCAUCGCUGAAUCCCCGAACCCGGCCGGGCCCGGGGAGUUGUGGCGUGAGGCGGCUUCGGGCGCGCGAUGUCCAUGACGCCGAGGUCCUCCUGAUCGGGGCGCCUUACCCAGAGCGGGUGUCAGGCCCGUUCUGGCGUCGGGUCUCGCGGGCCUGGAGCCACCAAGAGUCGGGUUGUUUUGGAAUGCAGCCCAAAGAGGGGUGGUGAACUCCAUCCAAG
rnacentral:rRNA from 1 species